rnacentral:rRNA from 1 species
GACGGAGGAUGCAAGCGUUAUCCGGAAUGAUUGGGCGUAAAGCGUCCGCAGGUGGCAGUUCAAGUCUGCUGUCAAAGACCGGGGCUUAACUUCGGAAAGGCAGUGGAAACUGAACAGCUAGAGUAUGGUAGAGGCAGGCGGAAUUCCGGGUGUAGCGGUGGAAUGCGUAGAGAUCCGGAAGAACAUCGGUGGCGAAGGCGCUCUGCUGGACCAUAACUGACACUCAGGGACGAAAGCUAGGGGAGCGAAUGGG